rnacentral:rRNA from 1 species
UACGUAGGGAGCAAGCGUUGUCCGGAAUCAUUGGGCGUAAAGCGCACGUAGGCGGUCUGUUAAGUCGGAUGUGAAAGCCCUCGGCUCAACCGAGGAAGUGCAUACGAAACUGGCGGACUUGAAUAUGGAAGAGGGUCGCGGAAUUCCCGGUGUAGAGGUGAAAUUCGUAGAUAUCGGGAGGAACACCAGUGGCGAAGGCGGCGACCUGGGCCAAUAUUGGACGCUGAGGUGCGAAAGCGUGGGGAGCAAACAGG